rfam:Felis catus isolate Cinnamon breed Abyssinian chromosome A2, whole genome shotgun sequence.
GCCUGGGUGGCUCAGUCCGUUAAGUAUCUGACUUCGGUUCAGGUCAUGAUCUCAGGGUUCGUGGGUUUGAGCCCCACAUCAGGCU